GCUUCCAGGCCUGUGUGAGAACCUAAGCUUUGGAACCUGUCAACUUCCAGGGCUGCAGAUUCGUUGGGCCCUCACAUGUGGCCUGUGGAUAGGAGGCAUCACUCGAGGAAGAGGAGGGCACCUAGAGGGGGAAGGCCACCCAACUACGGGCUUCUUGAGGACAGGUGCUCCAAAUGGCCGCUUCCUGAGGGCAGCGGGUCCUCUUGUGGCCUUAGGCAGGGCCCUGAAACCGGCCUCACGUGUUUGCAACUCGAACUCCUGUGCUUCCACCAAGCGCUCCCGGGUUUGCGGGGGUGGUGUCCGCGCCCCGGCCCCAGCCCGCACCCGGAAGUGGCUCCAAGGCCGCAGGUGUGAGGGGCGUGCCCAGGGCUCGGCCCGCGCCGCCCCAUGUGACCCGGUCCGACAUGGUGUCGCCUCCUCCCGGGGCGGCGGCGGUGGCGGCUCGGGCUGGGCUCGGCGUCGGGCCGGCCCCGCCGCCGCUCAUGGGCAGCCAGGGCCGCUCGGGGCCCCCCGGGAACGGCGGGCCCGGCGAGGGCGAGGGCGGAGAGGCGAGGAAGCUGCAGGAAGGGAGGGUGGCGAGGGGGAAGCGAAGGAAAGGGAAGGGGAAGGGAAAAGCGAGAGCGGGGCAAGGCGGAAGAGGAAGCGGGGCGGAAGGGAAGCCCGGGCCACAGACGGCGAAGGAGACAGCGGGGCCGGAGGCUGAGGCGGGAGCGAGGGCAUGCCCAAGGGAGGAAGCAGAGGGAGGCGGAAGCGUGGAGGAAGGGGCGAGAGGCAUCAUCAAGGGAGAUGAGGGGAGUGCAGGGGCCGGGAAGGAGGCACAAGGAAGAGAGUAUAGGAAGAAGGAGGCAUGGAGGGUCAGGGCUAGGCGGCGGGAGGGCGCCAGGCCGGGAAGAGCACAGAGACGAGGGGGUCAGGCUUGGGCCGACAUCCCGGGGACAGGGGUGGCCAUGGCGGCGGCGGCCGGGGAGGAGGAGGAGGCGGCGGCUCGGGAGUCGGCCGCCCGCCCAGCCGCGGGGCCUGCGCUCUGGCGCCUGCCAGAGGAGCUGCUGCUGCUCAUCUGCUCCUACCUGGACAUGCGGGCCCUCGGCCGCCUGGCCCAGGUGUGCCGCUGGCUGCGGCGCUUCACCAGCUGCGACCUGCUCUGGCGCCGGAUAGCCCGGGCCUCGCUCAACUCCGGCUUCACGCGGCUCGGCACCGACCUGAUGACCAGUGUCCCAGUGAAGGAACGGGUGAAGGUGUCUCAGAACUGGAGACUGGGGCGCUGCCGAGAGGCGAUUCUGCUGAAGUGGAGAUGCAGUCAGAUGCCCUGGAUGCAGCUAGAGGAUGAUUCUCUGUACAUAUCCCAGGCUAAUUUCGUCCUGGCCUACCAGUUCCGUCCAGAUGGUGCCAGCUUGAACCGUCGGCCUCUGGGAGUCUUUGCUGGGCAUGAUGAGGACGUUUGCCACUUUGUUCUGGCUAACUCGCAUAUUAUCAGUGCAGGAGGAGAUGGGAAGAUUGGCGUUCAUAAGAUUCACAGCACCUUCACUGUCAAGUACUCGGCUCAUGAACAGGAGGUGAACUGUGUGGACUGCAAAGGAGGCAUCAUUGUGAGUGGCUCCAGGGACAGGACGGCCAAGGUGUGGCCUUUGGCCUCAGGCCGGCUGGGGCAGUGCUUACAUACCAUCCAGACUGAAGACCGAGUCUGGUCCAUUGCUAUCAGCCCAUUACUCAGUUUGGCUGAUGUGGCUUAUGAGAGUCUCCUGUUGGCGAAGCCCUGCCUUCUCCUAUUUCUGAGGAGUAGCACCAGUUGGAAAGAUAAGCUCUUUUGUGACAGGGACGGCUUGUUGCGGGCACUUCUCACCCCUGAGAAUCUGGGACCUCAACAGUGGGCAGCUGAUGACACACUUGGGCAGUGACUUUCCCCCAGGGGCUGGGGUGCUGGAUGUCAUGUAUGAGUCCCCUUUCACACUGCUGUCCUGUGGCUAUGACACCUAUGUUCGCUACUGGGACCUCCGCACCAGUGUCCGGAAAUGUGUCAUGGAGUGGGAGGAGCCCCAUGAUAGCACCCUGUACUGCCUGCAGACAGAUGGCAACCACCUGCUGGCCACAGGUUCCUCCUACUACGGUGUUGUACGGCUGUGGGACCGGCGCCAAAGGGCCUGCCUGCACGCCUUCCCGCUGACGUCGACCCCCCUCAGCAGCCCUGUGUACUGCCUGCGUCUCACCACCAAGCAUCUCUAUGCUGCGCUGUCUUACAACCUCCAUGUCCUGGAUUUUCAAAACCCAUGACCGUCAGGGCCAUCCCUGCCUCUGGGCCAGGGAAACCAGCUACUCAGGGACCUCUCUUGCCUGGAGGGUGCAGUGAUAUCUCCUCCCCAGUGCCCCACUGUGCUCCUGGGCCUGUGACCCCAGUGCUCAGGCACCUUGCACUAGAGGCUUCGGACUCCUGGGGCUUUGGGGCUUACCAGAGAUGCAGUCCCUCCCAGGAACCUGUUGGAGAGGCAGGAUCUGCUGCUUUAGAUGAGUGCGGCUGAACCUGGGCCUUGCGUCCCUGUUUGGCCAGAGCAAGGAUCUGGCCUGGAGAGGCCCAUCCUAUACUACCCUUAUUAGAGCCAUGAUAGCCUACAGAGUGAGGUGAGGUGCUCCCACCUUCCCAGAUGGUUCCUUUCUGCCCCUUCCUGGAAGGAAAGGUAAGGCUGCCAACAGCCCACUGGCACCAGCCAGACCUCACCCUUGACCAACCUCUUGGGGCCAGGGGUUCAUUCCUGGGGCACUGUUACCUGGUUUUGCUUUGAAACCAAUAAAGAGCAGAGGGAACCCAGCAGUUCUGAGUUCUGAGCCAGCCCUACCUCAGGCUGGCUGUUGAGACAAGCUACAAUUUUCAUUUUUGUAAAAAUAAAGCUUGAUUGUUCACAGA